rnacentral:rRNA from 1 species
CCUACGGGCGGCAGCAGUGGGGAAUAUUGGACAAUGGGGGGAACCCUGAUCCAGCCAUGCCGCGUGUGUGAAGAAGGCCCUCGGGUUGUAAAGCACUUUCAGUGAGGAAGAACGCCUGGUGGUUAAUACCCAUCAGGAAAGACAUCACACACAGAAGAAGCACCGGCUAACUCCGUGCCAGCAGCCGCGGUAAUACGGAGGGUGCGAGCGUUAAUCGGAAUUACUGGGCGUAAAGCGCGCGUAGGUGGCUUGAUAAGCCGGUUGUGAAAGCCCCGGGCUCAACCUGGGAACGGCAUCCGGAACUGUCAAGCUAGAGUGCAGGAGAGGAAGGUAGAAUUCCCGGUGUAGCGGUGAAAUGCGUAGAGAUCGGGAGGAAUACCAGUGGCGAAGGCGGCCUUCUGGACUGACACUGACACUGAGGUGCGAAAGCGUGGGUAGCAAACAGGAUUAGAUACCCUUGUAGUC